rnacentral:rRNA from 1 species
UACGGAGGGUGCAAGCGUUAUCCGGAUUCACUGGGUUUAAAGGGUGCGUAGGCGGGCAGGUAAGUCCGUGGUGAAAUCUCUGAGCUUAACUCAGAAACUGCCAUGGAUACUAUUUGUCUUGAAUAUUGUGGAGGUAAGCGGAAUAUGUCAUGUAGCGGUGAAAUGCUUAGAUAUGACAUAGAACACCAAUUGCGAAGGCAGCUUACUACACAGUUAUUGACGCUGUGGCACGAAAGCGUGGGGAUCAAACAGG